rnacentral:rRNA from 1 species
UACAGAGGUCGCAAGCGUUGUUCGGAUUCACUGGGCGUAAAGGGCGCGUAGGUGGUCAGGCAAGUCGGAUGUGAAAUCUCCGAGCUCAACUCGGAAACUGCAUUGGAAACUACUUGGCUCGAGGGUUGGAGGGGGGACUGGAAUGCUUGGUGUAGCAGUGAAAUGCGUAGAUAUCAAGCGGAACACCAGUGGCGAAGGCGAGUCCCUGGACAACUCCUGACACUGAUGCACGAAAGCUAGGGGAGCAAACAGG